GACGAACCGUGCGAACGUUGUUCGGAAUCACUGGGCUUAAAGGGCGCGUAGGCGGCUUGCCAAGUCGGGGGUGAAAUCCGGCAGCUUAACUGUCGAAGUGCCUUCGAUACUGGCGAGCUCGAGGGAGGUAGGGGUCUGUGGAACUGCUGGUGGAGCGGUGAAAUGCGUUGAUAUCAGCAGGAACGCCGGUGGCGAAAGCGACGGACUGGACCUCUUCUGACGCUGAGGCGCGAAAGCUAGGGGAGCAAACGGG
rnacentral:rRNA from 1 species